GGUAGUGCAACGGUUAGCACGCGAUCCCGGAAAGAACGAGAUUUGGGUUCGAAUCCCGGCUGAAGCA